GUGUCAGCCGCCGCGGUAAUACGUAGGAUGCAAGCGUUGUUCGGAAUUAUUGGGUGUAAAGGGCGCGUAGGCGGCUUGGCCAGUCACGGGUGAAAGCCCCCGGCUUAACCGGGGAAUUGCCCGUGAUACUACCAAGCUCGAGUACGGGAGAGGGAAGUGGAAUUCCUGGUGUAGCGGUGAAAUGCGUAGAUAUCAGGAGGAACACCGGUGGCGAAGGCGGCUUCCUGGACCGAUACUGACGCUGAGGCGCGAAAGCGUGGGUAGCAAACAGGAUUAGAAACCCCAGUAGUCC
rnacentral:rRNA from 1 species